rnacentral:rRNA from 1 species
UACGAAGGGGGCUAGCGUUGUUCGGAAUUACUGGGCGUAAAGCGCGCGCAGGCGGUUCUUCAAGUCAGAGGUGAAAGCCCAGAGCUCAACUCUGGAAUGGCCUUUGAGACUAGAGAACUAGGGUACGGGAGAGGUGAGUGGAAUUCCGAGUGUAGAGGUGAAAUUCGUAGAUAUUGGGAAGAACACCGGUGGCGAAGGCGGCGAGCUGGUCCAUUACUGACGCUGAGGCGCGACAGCGUGGGGAGCAAACAGG